UGGCGGGCGGGUGAGUAAUGUCUGGGAAACUGCCUGAUGGAGGGGGAUAACUACUGGAAACGGUAGCUAAUACCGCAUAACGUCGCAAGACCAAAGAGGGGGACCUUCGGGCCUCUUGCCAUCGGAUGUGCCCAGAUGGGAUUAGCUAGUAGGUGGGGUAACGGCUCACCUAGGCGACGAUACAUAGCCGACCUGAGAGGGUGAUCGGCCACACUGGGACUGAGACACGGCCCAGACUCCUACGGGAGGCAGCAUG
rnacentral:rRNA from 1 species